rnacentral:rRNA from 1 species
UACAGAGGGGGCAAGCGUUAUUCGGAAUUAUUGGGCGUAAAGGGCGCGUAGGCGGCCUGGCAAGUGGAAGGUGAAAUCCCUCGGCUUAACCGAGGAACUGCCUCCCAAACUGCUUGGCUUGAGACCAGGAGAGGUGAGUGGAAUUCCCAGUGUAGCGGUGAAAUGCGUAGAUAUUGGGAGGAACACCAGUGGCGAAGGCGGCUCACUGGACUGGUACUGACGCUGAGGCACGAAAGCCAGGGGAGCAAACGGG